UGUAAUUAUAUGUAUAUGCAACUAUAUAUAUAUACUUUUGCAAUCUCGAUACGUUCGUGUAAAGUCGGGUACUUUCGGCAUCUCGAUAUGUUUAUAUGGAGUAAGAUACUUUCAGAAGCUCGCCCGAUCUUGCCCGACUUCUGCCGACCUAUAAGGUUCGGGAAUUCUGUAAUUUCACAAAUCCGCGCAUUCCUAAAUUGAAAUCUCAUUUUACGAAAGUCUGUUAUAGACAACCACAUUCUUGUCCAGGUCAACUUAAUAGAGAUCUAUCCAUAUUUUGCCUCUCGAGGGAAUACUCGAUGGAAGUUGCCGUACUAAUUCCAAUAUGAGACAACUGGUUUCUCAGAUUGCAAUCAUGCCAGAUGGAAUAGUAGUAAAGUUAACAUUGAGACCGAUAAGCACGAAUUCGAAAGAUCGAGCAAGUACACACAUUCGAAGAAAGAGGCACAGAGUGAUUUUUCUAAUUGAUCGAAAUUAAUUCUUUUGUAUUUACAAACAAAAUUAAGAGAAACUGCUCCU